GGGUCGGCGAGCAGCCGGAUUUCAUCCGAAACAAGGGACCCCUGUUUCGGUCCUCUUCCACCGAGCAUUGCCGCAGCCGACCGCCGGUUUUGGCCAGGGAUGCGGCCGCCUGUGGCCGGUGUCGGGUGAGCGCCUGGGCCACCGCGGCUGCCACCUACUUCCGACGAAAGCAAAGGAGGAAGAGAAGGGCCGAGCCCUUCAUUCUUUCCUCUAUUCUCUUUCCCAUUUUCUUCCGUCCAGCCGACCUCUGUCGCCAUCAAUGUCUCUGGUCCGGCCGUCCUCACCAGGGCCGGAUUGCUAUGGGCCGCCAACCAGGGGUUCGUCCAUGGCGUUUUGACAGGGAGAGGGGGGAGAUGUCUCGCUAUUUGAGAAGAGGAGAAGGCUUUAUCUGUAAGUGUGCGUGCAGAGGGUUAAGCAUGAAUUUCAGAAAAUUUUAUGAGGAAAGAACGGGUUAAACAUUUUAACCCAUAACAUGCUUGAUAUUUUAGAUAUUUUGACUCUGGUACUAGUCGAAGACAGUCUUCAACUGCAUAUCACAUGUGGCGCGGGCUCAGUCCCAAUACAUAGGGUGACACCCGUGCGUGCCU
rnacentral:lncRNA from 1 species